GACGAACCUGACGAACGUUAUUCGGAAUUACUGGGCUUAAAGGGUGCGUAGGCGGUGCGGUCAGUCGGGUGUGAAAUCCCUCGGCUCAACCGAGGAACUGCGCCCGAUACUACCGUGCUUGAGGGAGACAGAGGUAAGCGGAACUGAUGGUGGAGCGGUGAAAUGCGUUGAUAUCAUCAGGAACACCAGUGGCGAAAGCGGCUUACUGGGUCUCUUCUGACGCUGAGGCACGAAAGCUAGGGUAGCGAACGGG
rnacentral:ncRNA from 2 species